UCCUGUGAAGUGCUGGAUGCUGGCUGAAAAUCUCUUGGUUUGAAUCCUACCUCUGACACUGUCUGUAAGACUUCAGGAGCCCAGGACACAUGUUCUAGUGCUUUUGUGAGAUGCUGUGUUUGACCCAGCGCGAAUGGAUGCGGCAGAAUGCUGGCUCCAAGAAAAAGUUUUAAGAGACACUUCUCAGCCAGUUGGGGUAACACGUCCUUUGAAGUGGCGAGAGCUGUCAUCCUGGGACUGUGCUUCCCUGACAGCAGGCGGCCCGGCCCUGUGUGCCCGCUGAUGUUCUGCUGCCUAAAGACUCUGUGAUCUGUGACGCCUUUGAAGGGCCUUCUUGAAGAUGCUUCAUCUGUGCUUAGUCGAGACCCCAGUUCAGAGCCUAAUAGGAGUCACGGGCACUCAUUAAACAGUGCCAGCACAAGCGUCCAGGAAAGUGGUCAUUGUGCAAGGCUGCUGUCCAAGCCUCUUUGUAAAGUCUUGGUCGUGGGGAUAAAAAAA